CCUACGGGGUGCUGCAGUGAGGAAUAUUGGUCAAUGGACGAGAGUCUGAACCAGCCAAGUAGCGUGAAGGAUGACUGCCCUAUGGGUUGUAAACUUCUUUUAUAUGGGAAUAAAACGUUCCACGUGUGGGAUUUUGUAUGUACCAUAUGAAUAAGGAUCGGCUAACUCCGUGCCAGCAGCCGCGGUAAUACGGAGGAUCCGAGCGUUAUCCGGCUUUAUUGGGUUUAAAGGGAGCGUAGGUGGCUUGUUAAGUCAGUUGUGCAAGUUUUCGGCUCAACCGUAAAAUUGCAGUUGAAACUGGCAGUCGUGAGUACAGUAGAGGUGGGCGGAAUUCGUGGUGUAGCGGUGAAAUGCUUAGAUAUCACGAAGAACUCCGAUUGCGAAGGCAGUUCACUGGACUGCAACUGACACUGAGGCUCGAAAGUGUGGGUAUCAAACAGGAUGAGAUACACUAGUAGUC
rnacentral:rRNA from 1 species